AAAUGUUUAUUUAUCCAUUCGGGUUUUCAUUAUUAUUUGUCGACUAUAUUGUGCAAUAGUAGAAGUAAUACAGAAGUAGUCCAUUCAUAAAAACCCACUAAGCUUCCUACUAUUGGGCAUGAGUCUAUUCUUACAACAAUAUUAUUAGCUUUCUCCUACAACGUUGUAAAUUGCGUUGGAUUUAAUGUAAUAUUUACAAAUAAGCUAAUCAAUCGGUCAUAAAAGACGAAUAUCGUUUUUUUACUGUAGAAAAUUACUCAGCUCAAAGUGUAAAUAUUUUUAAAUAACAAAGUAUGAUAUUAAAUUUUGUACUUUUUGUAGUUUUAUAAGAUUAAUAAAAAAAAAAAAAAAAAUAUUACAGUAUCGCUUAUCAGUCUUUGCAAUUCUACUAAAGCAAAUCUAUCAUGAGGAUUAUUUCAAAAAUCUGUUUAUAACAUCCUGAGGGUGCUUCUUUUAUACUACUAUUGAAUGGCAACCAGGCUGACGGUGCACCUAAUGGAUAGCCAAGCCGUGGUGUAUGAACAAGUAGUGGCUAGGUAUGCACAAUACAGUACCUGGUGGUCAGGCGAGUGCCUGGGGAAGCUGUCUAGCUGCUGCUCGAGCUGGGUGAACAGCGCGGCCACCUGUGCAACGCGCUCGUACAGUGCUCGAUACUCCUUGUAGAGGGCCGCGAACUCGUCCUUGUACGCGCGCCGCGUGCUCGAACUUGUUAUAGGCGGGUAUUGCCUAUGAAAUCAAAGCCAUAAGUAAAUGAACCAACUUUGGAAAAACGCUGUAGUCAUUUCAAUUUGUUAUAUUAUUAAAAAGGUUUUAUAUGCACGUACCGAUAUGGAAGAACAGUGAUUUAUCAAUAUAAAACGAUGUCAAAAUAAAUAUUCUUUCGAAUUUGUGUAAUAUA